rnacentral:lncRNA from 1 species
AGUAAGUUACUCCCAAAAAUAAUAUAUUAUGUUGCCAAAAGCAUAUGAAAGUUGUAGAACAUUGGCAUGAAAUGAUAAAAAAUUACAUAUACUAUGGAGGCGUAUCAACCCCUUGGACUAUAAAAGGAUGUCUAGGGCUACCUUCAGAAAGGUCGACUCUCUAUUGAUUCUACACGGGUAGCUGCUGCUCUCUAUCAUCCUUGUCGGGCGAGCACACAUGUACUGUGAACACACACAUAAUCCACCAGAACACAAAAUUGGCAUAGGAUUUUACGUUUCCGAGCAUCCCGAACCUAUCUAAACCACCGUGCAUCCAGCUGUCGGUGAUGCUCUUUGUGCACCCAUAGUCCCCGUAGAACUGUAGCGAAGGGGCCUUGCCGUCCCAUAGAUCGUCGGAUCGUCCCGGCAUACAUUGUAAAUUCAAAGAGAAAAGACAUAAGAAUUGUAUCAUAAUGUGGAAUAAUUACCAUGAAUAACAUGUCAAUAGGAAAUCAUGAUGCAGAAUGGACAUACAACGUCAAUGACCAAAAAUAAAGCAAUAAUAUCGAUAAUGGUUCCUUCGACGACAUUGUGCCUAAUAGGUAAGAAGAAGACCUUGCACACGUUGAAUAAUACCUAGAGUCCCAGGAAGAUUUAAGGUUCAGACCUAAU